AAAGAAACUAACAAGGAUUCCCCUAGUAGCGGCGAGCGAAGCGGGAUGAGCUCAAAUUUGAAAUCUGGCGUCUUUCAGGCGUCCGAGUUGUAAUCUAUAGAAGCGUUUUCUGUGCUGGACCAUGUCCAAGUCCCUUGGAACAGGGUAUCAAAGAGGGUGACAAUCCCGUACUUGACAUGACCACCAGUGCUCUGUGAUACGUUUUCGACGAGUCGAGUUGUUUGGGAAUGCAGCUCAAAAUGGGUGGUAAAUUCCAUCUAAAGCUAAAUAUUGGCGAGAGACCGAUAGCGAACAAGUACCGUGAGGGAAAGAUGAAAAGCACUUUGGAAAGAGAGUUAAACAGUACGUGAAAUUGUUGAAAGGGAAACGAUUGAAGUCAGUCGUGUCUAUUGGUUUCAGCCGGUUCUGCCGGUGUAUUACCUUUAGACGGGUCAACAUCAGUUUUGGACGGCACAUAAGGGCAGAUUGAAUGUGGCACCUCCGGGUGUGUUAUAGCUUUCUGCCGCAUAUGCUGUCCGAGACUGAGGACUGCAGCUCGCCUUUUAGGCCGGGGUUCGCCCACGUUCGAGCUUAGGAUGUUGACAUAAUGGCUUUAAACGACCCGUCUUGAAACACGGAC
rnacentral:rRNA from 2 species